AGGGCUGACUGGCACUUGGAGAGUGGCAAGUCUUCCAGUAUGGGGAGCAAAACAGCUAUGGGUCAAGUCCGAUAUCUUUAGGAGAAGUCUUAUUGUGAGGGCGAGUUAUAUAACACCAUAGGACUGGCCGUCCCAUAUGAAAAGAUUAUAUUAGAAUUGAAUGAAGCUUUGUUUAUAUAUUGAUAAUGACAGUAUAUAUAUCGUGUCUUGACUAAUUGCGUGCCAGCAGUCGCGGUAAUACGUAAGAGACUAGUGUUAUUCAUCUUAAUUAGGUUUAAAGGGUACCCAGACGGUCAAUAUAGCUUAUAAAAUGUUAGUACUUGACUAGAGUUUUAUGUAAGAGGGCAGUACUUGAGGAGGAGAGAUGAAAUUUCGUGAUACCAAAGGGACUCUGUAAAGGCGAAGGCAGCCCUCUAUGUAAAAACUGACGUUGAAGGACGAAGGCACAGAGAACAAACAGGAUUAGAUACCCAAGUAGUCUUUGCAGUAAAUGAUGAAUGCCAUAGGUUAGAUUGAUCAAUUAUAGUCUAGGGUUAGUCUAGCAAACUAAUGCCCUAUGAUAUAAUUCAAAAUAUCUGGUCUAUAAAUGAAAGUGUAAGCAUUUCACCUCAAGAGUAAUGUGGCAACGCAGGAACUGAAAUCACUAGACCGUUUCUGACACCAGUAGUGAAGUAUGUUAUUUAUGAAAAACCCCCAAAAAA
rnacentral:rRNA from 1 species